rnacentral:rRNA from 1 species
GACGAACGCUGGCGGCGUGCUUAACACAUGCAAGUCGAACGGGUCUGCCCUGUUUUUUGCGGGGUGGGUCAGUGGCGAACGGGUGAGUAACACGUGAGUAACCUGCCCCUCACUUCUGGAUAACCGCCUGAAAGGGUGGCUAAUACGGGGUGUUCUGGCUGUGCCGCAUGGUGUGGCUGGGAAAGAUUCACUUUUGUGGUGUUUUGGUGGGGGAUGGGCUCGCGGCCUAUCGGCUUGUUGGGGGGGUGAUGGCCUGCCAAGGCUUUGCCGGGUAGGCGGCCUGGGAGGGUGGGCGGUCAGACUGGGGCUGAGAGACGGCCCAGACUCCGGCGGGAGGCAGUAGUGGGGGGUAUUGCACAAUGGGCGGAAGCAUGAUGCAGCGACGUCGCGGGAGGGAUGGAGGCCUGCGGGUUGUGAACCUCUGUCGCCGGUGAAGAAGGUCCUGCUCUUUGCGGGGGGGUUGACGGUAGCCGGGUUAUGAAGCGCCGGCUAACUACGUG